GAUGAAGAACGCAGCGAAAUGCGAUAAGUAGUGUGAAUUGCAGAAUUCAGUGAAUCAUCGAAUCUUUGAACGCACAUUGCGCCCUUUGGUAUUCCAAAGGGCAUGCCUGUUCGAGCGUCAUUUGUACCCUCAAGCUUUGCUUGGUGUUGGGCGUCUUGUCUCUAGCUUUGCUGGAGACUCGCCUUAAAGUAAUUGGCAGCCGGCCUACUGGUUUCGGAGCGCAGCACAAGUCGCACUCUCUAUCAGCAAAGGUCUAGCAUCCACUAAGCCUUUUUUUUCAACUUUUGACCUCGGAUCAGGUAGGGAUACCCGCUGAACUUAAGCAUAUCAAUAAGCGGAGGA
rnacentral:misc_RNA from 1 species